GAUAUUUCUCGUUGCAAUUUUACGACUUGCUCAGCUCUUGAAAGUUCCACAUUAGAUCCUCAGCAGCUUGCUAGUACAGCAAGUGCUAUUUCUUGCAGCUUUACGUCCGUCACUCAAAAUCAGUCUGUUUUUUCGAGACCCACCACUGAUUUGACAGAAUGCCUUACUCUUACAUCGAACAAACAACCAAGUCCAACUACAUCUGAUAGACCAACAAGUUCUUCUACGUCAAACAUUCAAGCAAGCUCAACUACAUCAGAUAAGCAAACAAGUUCAACUAGAGCAAAUCAACAAAAAAUAAGUCAGUUGACAACUUACCAACAGAGAGUGAGUCUAACUACUGAAUAUCGUAAGUUAGCUACUCGUCUAGUAGCAACAGGUAACAUGUAACAAUAUUAUACAUCAUAAUAAUAUCACAAAAACUCUAUCAUGUGUAACUCUAAUUUUUGACACAGGAGAGUCUCCUCCACCUCAGAAAGAUUCUAGCUCUCAAGGUUCUAAUCUUGCAGCGUACUGUUAACAAAAUUCUAAAUAUUGCAUACUAUAUAUAUAUACGUAUCAACAGGAAUUCCUGUAUACAUUAUUGCUGCAGCAUGCGUUGGUGCACUAGUUUUGAUAGUCGUGAUCGUCAUCAUUAUUGUUGGUUGCAAACGAAAAUCGGGUGAAAUUGAACUAUGUUAACUAGAAACCUGUAGCUCUAAAACAUGAUCGUAUUAUUUUGCAGCUCGCAAAAGAACACUAAACUCAGACCUUCAAACAACUGAACACAUUUAUGCAAACAGAGUCGAUUUAUCAAAUGUAGAAUUACAAUCUGUACACAACACUGUAAACGAGGUCUACGAAAGUGCUGAAUGCGAAUAUCCCAACGCACGUGCAGCUCACGAGGAAGGAGCGGCAGCUGAUCAUGACGAACACAACGAUGUAUACGAGACGGCAAUGCAGAACAAUGCAGCUUACGGAACUACUUGACGAGAUAUACUUCAGCAUGCAUUCAGCCACUGUGCAAGCGUACUCUACUCAGUAAUAUAGAAAACUUUUGCAUGGAUGAGCGAAUGCGCUCGAGAGUUUUAGGUUGCCAUGCAGUGUGCGUGUGAUUCUAGACAAUUUGUUGAAAACAGAAGUCAAUAAUGUUAUCUAAACGCAAUACUAUGGCAGCGUGCCUAGAUAUACACGUAAAAUACAG